GACGAACGCUGGCGGCGUGCUUAACACAUGCAAGUCGAACGAUGAAGCCUAGCUUGCUGGGUGGAUUAGUGGCGAACGGGUGAGUAACACGUGAGUAACCUGCCCCUUACUCUGGGUUAAGCGCUGGAAACGGCGUCUAAUACUGGAUAUUACCUUUCAUCGCAUGGUGUUUGGUGGAAAGAUUUUUCGGUUUGGGAUGGACUCGCGGCCUAUCAGCUUGAUGGUGAGGUAGUGGCUCACCAUGGCGACGACGGGUAGCCGGCCUGAGAGGGUGACCGGCCACACUGGGACUGAGACACGGCCCAGACUCCUACGGGAGGCAGCAGUGGGGAAUAUUGCACAAUGGGCGCAAGCCUGAUGCAGCAACGCCGCGUGAGGGAUGACGGCCUUCGGGUUGUAAACCUCUUUUAGUAGGGAAGAAGCGUAAGUGACGGUACCUACAGAAAAAGCACCGGCUAACUACGUG
rnacentral:rRNA from 1 species